AGAGUUUGAUCCUGGCUCAGGAUGAACGCUGGCGGCGUGCCUAACACAUGCAAGUUGAGCGAUUUACUUCGGUAAAGAGCGGCGGACGGGUGAGUAACGCGUGGGUAACCUACCCUGUACACACGGAUAACAUACUGAAAGGUAUGCUAAUACGGGAUAAUAUAUUUGAGAGGCAUCUCUUGAAUAUCAAAGGUGAGCCAGUACAGGAUGGACCCGCGUCUGAUUAGCUAGUUGGUAAGGUAACGGCUUACCAAGGCGACGAUCAGUAGCCGACCUGAGAGGGUGAUCGGCCACAUUGGAACUGAGACACGGUCCAAACUCCUACGGGAGGCAGCAGUGGGGAAUAUUGCACAAUGGGCGAAAGCCUGAUGCAGCAACGCCGCGUGAGUGAUGAAGGCCUUCGGGUCGUAAAACUCUGUCCUCAAGGAAGAUAAUGACGGUACUUGAGGAGGAAGCCCCGGCUAACUACGUGCCAGCAGCCGCGGUAAUACGUAGGGGGCUAGCGUUAUCCGGAUUUACUGGGCGUAAAGGGUGCGUAGGCGGUCUUUCAAGUCAGGAGUGAAAGGCUACGGCUCAACCGUAGUAAGCUCUUGAAACUGGGAGACUUGAGUGCAGGAGAGGAGAGUGGAAUUCCUAGUGUAGCGGUGAAAUGCGUAGAUAUUAGGAGGAACACCAGUUGCGAAGGCGGCUCUCUGGACUGUAACUGACGCUGAGGCACGAAAGCGUGGGGAGCAAACAGGAUUAGAUACCCUGGUAGUCCACGCUGUAAACGAUGAGUACUAGGUGUCGGGGGUUACCCC
rnacentral:rRNA from 1 species